AAGUCGUAACAAGGUUUCCGUAGGUGAACCUGCGGAAGGAUCAUUAUCGUUGGGCUUCGGCCCAUUCGAGAUAACACCCUUGCCUUUUUGAGUACCUUUUCGUUUCCUCGGCAGGCUCGCCUGCCAACGGGGACCCUUCAAAACGCUUUGUAAUACCUGUAAUCGUCUGAUAUAACAAGCAAAAAUCAAAACUUUCAACAACGGAUCUCUUGGUUCUG
rnacentral:misc_RNA from 1 species